AUGGCCGAACCUGCCCUCACCUUCAUCCUUCUCUUCCUCAUUACUCUGGUUUUCACCAUUGCAACCACUGCUUUCAAGAAUAUUAUCUUCUGUACUACAGAACCGCUGGUUGUAUCUCCAAACAUCACAUUACAACCUGUCUGGGAAGGUGAAUUCAAAGCCUUAGGGGUCAGACUCAUCUGCACCUUGAGUGGAUUCUUUCCAGAUAAACUGAGUGUGGAGUGGAAGCUGGACAACAACCCUCUAGUGAUUAAUCCAAUCGAAAGGAAGCUGCAGACCGUGGAGGGAGUGAAAAAAACAUUUAGUUUUAGCAGUGAGAUUGAGCCAAACAGCAAGGAGUGGGCAAAAGGCUCAAGCUAUACAUGCAAGGCGAUUCACAACAACAUUGAAUUUACAAAGACAAUUAGUGUCUGUCAAAUCGUUCCAAGCACCACUCCUGCCAUGCAUUUACAAACCCCGAGCUUCAAGACGGUAAUGGAGGCAAAGUCAGACAUUGAGGCAACAUGUUCAGUCUGCACUAUUUUUGAUGCCACUGUGACAUGGAGGCUGGAUGAUGACUCUCCCUCCAAAGAACACAUCAACCAGGUCACUAAUGCAAGUCAUAUAAUAAGCACUCUGACAGUUUCAUCAAGCAGCUGGCAAAGACUGAAGAAUCUAAAAUGUAAGGCUGAACAUCACUGCUUCUCUUCUACUGAAGUUACAUUUGUUCCAGGGCCUGCAGUAAGACCUCCAUUGAUUCAGAUCAGAAGAUCUCUCCCACAUUUGCUGAAGGGAGACAGUGCUGUGCUGGAGUGUGACAUCACACAGUCCGACUCCAGGGAUCUAUCUGUCACCUUACAGACUAAUACGAAUGCUAUUAUUGGCAAACAGUUUGUUGAUCUUCCUCAAACCCCAGGACCACAUUCAAUCAGUAGAUUCUUCUCUGUGCCUCAAAAUCACUGGAAGAAAAACACAAGUUUCUACUGCAGAGUAAGCCAAGGUUUCUCUGGCAGUUCUACAUCAAACUCUACUGGCAUUAUCUUUGUGGAUCCAUCAGUGGAGCUCCUUCUGGUCCCAGGUGAAGAGUCUGGACAACAGAGACUGUCGUGCUCUGGAUGGGGCUUUGACCCUCAAAUCAAAUGGUCUUCUGAGUCCCAGCAAAAAUCUCCUUCGACCUAUGACAUCAGCAUGGGUGCAGGUGGACGUGUGGCAGUAACCAGUCAACUUCUUGUCCCUCAAAAAGAGUGGAAAACGGGGAAAAACUUCACCUGUGAAGUCUCUGACAGAAUUCUGAAGAAAGAUGUUCAACAGGAGAUCAGCCUCUGUUCAGUUACUCCCGCAUCAUCUCAAUCAGUUGGGGUCUAUAUUCAGGGACCACCACUCCAGGAGAAUCAGAACACGGGACAAGUGACUGUCACCUGCCUUUUGGUUGGCCCUCUUCUAAAAGAUAUUUCCAUCAACUGGAAAGUAGAUGGAAACACAUAUACCCAUCGUGCCCAUAUAGAGCCACCAGUGAGUCUCGGCAACGGUACAGAAACUUUGCGGAGCUUCCUUAACGUGUCAGCAGAGGACUGGAACUCUUAUAAAAACGUGUCAUGUGAGGGAAAGCAUCCAUGUUCCAAACAGAGCUACAAGGACCAUAUAAAGAAAUGCAAAGACACCAGUCCACCAACAGUGAAGAUUAUACAACCAAGUGCCUCUCAGGCUUCCACAUCACACUUCCUCACACUUACUUGCCUGGUGUCAGAAUUUUUCCCAUCCAACAUAAUAGUGUACUGGAAAAAAGAUGGCCAGAGACUCCCUUCAACUGGCUACACUAACAGUCCUGCAUGGAAGUACACCGGGAGCAGCACUUAUUCAAUGAGCAGCAGACUAAAUAUAACCAAAACUGUGCACGAGGAGUCCACAUAUUCUUGCGUUGUCAGACAUGAGUCAUCCGAAAUGCCCCUUGAAAGCAGUAUAAAGGAUGUGUUUGACGUAUUGGAGAGCUGUGAUUUUUUGGAUAAUAUUAUGUAUGCUGAAAGGAUCCAAGACAAAGAUGAGGAAGGCUGGUUUAUGGCUUUCACAUUUCUCGUUUUUUUCCUCAUCUCCAUCGUCUAUGGUGUCUUUGCAACCCUGUUUAAGACUAAAUGAUGGCGAUCACAGGAACAGAUCAACUUUCAAGAUCAAAAAGUGAAAUUCUGGAGAUUUUUGAUUGUAUCUGGUCUUGUUAAUCUUUAAAUGGGAUAAGAAAUGCUCCCAUCAUUAUGUUCCUUUCCACUGUUUUACAUCUUGUUACUUUUCUACAUGCCAAUUCUUUUGAGAUUAUGCUACCAAUGUCAUGAAAACAAAUCCUGUAUCAUUUGUGCAUUGAGAAAAUAAAUAUUCAUAAAUUGGAAACAAA